CUGAAAGUCAAGAAAAUUCUGAUAAUCUGAAAUAAGUAAAAAUAUCUGUGUCAUGGAGAUUUAAUUUAGUUUUGACAGCAAAUUUGCAGCUGUUAAAUUCAGAUCUAUAUUCAGAGAUUUCUUAUUUUGAGCUUAUAAUCUACGGAAAAAAGGCAUUUUUAAUAAUGGCUGCCUAAGAAAGUAAACGUCUAAGUGUACAUAAAAAUAAUUUUCUGUGUUUAUUUUUAAUUUCACAUUCUAAAUUAUCUGAAGCAUUGUCAGACUUGAAUACAGUUAAUAACUGAAUUUUAGAUGGACAAAACGAAAAUAAUAUCAUAAAAAGAAUUUACUAAACAAUUUUUGGCUUUGAAAGCACCAUAUCUCAUCCAUAUUCAUUUGAACAUAAUAGAACUUUGAAAUAAUUUAACAACAGUCUAAAAUUUAAUAGAUCUGUGUGAAGACUAUACAAAUUGUGGUUCAUGACUUUACACAAUUGUGUGAAGACAAUGCAACUUGUGGUUCAUGACUUUACACAAUUGUGUGAAGACAAUGCAACUUGUGGUUCACAAUUUUACACAACUUAAAAAUCAGCAAGUCCAGUUAAAAUGGGUUUAAGACAUUGGUAAUUGGUCAAAGAAAACGAGUAAAUCUUUAAGUCUUGUUGUUCAAAGGUAAUCUUUGUAGACUGGAACCAAAUAACUUCAACUUUUUGUAUGCACAAAUUCCAUCAAGCAGAAACAUCUGAUUGGAUAUGUUAGUACAGAAAAUAUGGAGAGAUAAAACUUUAUUAUUUUUAUUUCUAAACUUGUUAAAAAUGUAGUUCAACUUGGUACCUUUAAUAUUCCUAAGUCUAUCAUUUUAUCAUCAUUCAAUCAUAACUUAAUACAAAAUAUUUUAGACUUUGUAUGACACAAAUAGUGUAGUAGUUCUACCGGAAAGUUAAUUAUCAUACACACAUACAGUCUGAAGUUAGUACUCCAUAAAAAUCUAAAAGAUAAUAAUACAAAAACUUAAUUUAAAUAAUGGACAAAAGCACUUUAAAUAUGAACAAAUACAACCAUAGUUAUUAGUAACA
rnacentral:lncRNA from 1 species